GACGAACGCUGGCGGCGUGCUUAACACAUGCAAGUCGAACGUGAUUUUUAUGGAAUAGCCUUCGGGAUAGGAAAUGAAAUGAAAGUGGCGAACGGGUGAGUAACACGUGAGCAACCUACCUUACACAGGGGGAUAGCCGUUGGAAACGACGAUUAAUACCGCAUGAGACCACAGAACCGCAUGGUAAAGGGGUCAAAGAUUUAUCGGUGUAAGAUGGACUCGCGUCCCAUUAGCUAGUUGGUGAAGGUAACGGCCUACCAAGGCAACGAUGGGUAGCCGGCCUGAGAAGGUGAACGGCCACAUUGGAACUGAGAAACGGUCCAAACUCCUACGGGAGGCAGCAGUGGGGAAUAUUGCACAAUGGGGGAAACCCUGAUGCAGCGACGCCGCGUGAGCGAAGAAGGCCUUCGGGUCGUAAAGCUCUUUUAUAUGGGAAGAUAAUGACGGUACCAUAAGAAAAAGCCCUGGCUAACUACGUGCCAGCAGCCGCGGUAAUACGUAGGGGGCUAGCGUUGUCCGGAAUCACUGGGCGUAAAGGGUUCGCAGGCGGCAAUGCAAGUCAGAUGUAAAAGGCAAAGGCUCAACCUUUGUAAGCAUCUGAAACUGUAUAGCUUGAGAAGUGUAGAGGCAAGUGGAAUUUUUAGUGUAGCGGUGAAAUGCGUAGAUAUUAAAAAGAAUACCGGUGGCGAAGGCGACUUGCUGGGCACAAUCUGACGCUGAGGAACGAAAGCGUGGGGAGCAAACAGG
rnacentral:rRNA from 1 species